GAUGAAGAACGUAGCGAAAUGCGAUACGUAAUGUGAAUUGCAGAAUUCAGUGAAUCAUCGAAUCUUUGAACGCAUAUUGCGCUCUCUGGUAUUCCGGAGAGCAUGCUUGUUUGAGUAUCAGUAAACACCUCAACUUCCAUAUCUUUUUUGAAAUGGGAGUUGGACUUGAGUGAUCCCAACGCUUUUCCUCACCGAACAGUGGCGGGUUACUUGAAAUGCAGGUGCAGCUGGACUUUUCUCUGAGCUAUAAGCAUAUCUAUUUAGUCUGCCUAAAAAACAGAUUAUUACCUUUGCUGCAGCUAACAUAAAGGAGAUUAGUUCUUGUGCUGACUGAUGCAGGAUUCACAAAGACAGGCUUCGGCCGACUUUGUAAACUCGAUCUCAAAUCAAGUAAGACUACCCGCUGAACUUAAGCAUAUCAAUAAGCGGAGGA
rnacentral:misc_RNA from 1 species